CAACUGUCGAUCCUCAACAUUCUAUUCACCCCCAAUAGUUCCCUUUCCUACUCCUCAUCAUUACAUCAGAUACUUCCUAGGUGACCCUGGGUUAAUUUUAAGGAAAUCACAUUUGAUAGAUGGAAGGGACAACAGAGAACAUUUAAUAGUCCAACUCCCUCAUUUUGUGGAAGAGUGAGAAGCAGAGAAAUAAAGUGACUAUGCUAGGGGAAGCAUUUUCCAAAGAGGAGAGACCAGGAUGGAAUGCCAUGAGGUGGGUGAAGGGGCUAGAAGAAGAGAAAAAUGGGAAAUCAAAAUUUUGGAAAACUGAAUGUUAAAAUAAAUAAAGUAUAAUGAAAA